UCCUAGCGAUUGUGUUCUGUACGUGCAACAUUCUUGCACUUGGUAUAUCAGGUUUGUGGUGGAUUAAAUGAGUCGUACGUUGAGCUGAAGAAGCUUGUGAAUUCACAAGAAAAAUUGUACCAGAUGGCUAGCUAGUUGCAUAUUUAAUAUAUUUAGUAUUUUUGUAAGGCAUAAUAGUAUUAGAUGGAACAUUUGUUGAAUUUUGACUAUAUUCAAAUGAUGUAUGAAUUCUUUUUUAUGAUAAUAAUAUAUGAAUUUUGAUUA